CGGGCCCUCAAUACGCCCUAAAAA
rnacentral:tRNA from 1 species